GAUGAACGCUGACAGAAUGCUUAACACAUGCAAGUCAACUUGAAUUUGGGUUUUUAACUUAGGUUUGGGUGGCGGACGGGUGAGUAACGCGUAAAGAACUUGCCUCACAGCUAGGGACAACAUUUGGAAACGAAUGCUAAUACCUAAUAUUAUGAUAAUAGGGCAUCCUAUAAUUAUGAAAGCUAUAAGCGCUGUGAGAGAGCUUUGCGUCCCAUUAGCUAGUUGGAGAGGUAACGGCUCGCCAAGGCGAUGAUGGGUAGCCGGCCUGAGAGGGUGAUCGGCCACAAGGGGACUGAGACACGGCCCUUACUCCUACGGGAGGCAGCAGUGGGGAAUAUUGGACAAUGGACCAAGAGUCUGACCCAGCAAUUCUGUGUGCACGAUGAAGUUUUUCGGAAUGUAAAGUGCUUUCAGUUGGGAAGAAAGAAAUGACGGUACCAACAGAAGAAGUGACGGCUAAAUACGUG
rnacentral:rRNA from 1 species